GCUCAAUGAUGUAACUAUCCCGAAACUGAACACCUGAAGAAAACAAGUACGGAUUCGGCUUCUGAGAU
rnacentral:snoRNA from 1 species